UACAGAGGUCUCAAUCGUUGUUCGGAUUCAUUGGGCGUAAAGGGUGUGUAGGUGGCGCCGUAAGUCGGGUGUGAAAUUUCGGAGCUUAACUCCGAAACUGCAUUCGAUACUGCGGUGCUUGAGGACUGGAGAGGAGACUGGAAUUCAUGGUGUAGCAGUGAAAUGCGUAGAGAUCAUGAGGAAGACCAGUGGCGAAGGCGGGUCUCUGGAACGCAACUGACGCUGAGACGCGAAAGCGUGGGGAGCAAACAGG
rnacentral:rRNA from 1 species